rnacentral:rRNA from 1 species
CGGUUCUAUGGGAUGUACUUCUUUUAUAUGGGAAUAAAGGGUGCCACGUGUGGCAUUUUGUAUGUACCAUAUGAAUAAGGAUCGGCUAACUCCGUGCCAGCAGCCGCGGUAAUACGGAGGAUCCGAGCGUUAUCCGGAUUUAUUGGGUUUAAAGGGAGCGUAGGUGGACAUGUAAGUCAGUUGUGAAGGUUUGCGGGCAA